UUCAAAGCAAUGAGAGGAAAUAGUAACAGGUUAUUCAUUCUUUAGAGAGCCGAUGGCUGGUGGAAAUCGGUGAAUGCUGCUUGUGAAUCCAUCCUCGAGUAAAGUAUGGAAAGCCGCUUUAGGUUAGUAAUUACUUUCGGUUAAAACCGUUAUUAUUUUAAGGUGGAAAGCUUAUGCUUUCAACUAGGGUGGCAACGCGGGUAACUCUCGUCCCUUUU
rnacentral:ncRNA from 1 species